CAUCAUUCUUGUCACGACGUUAAAGAUCGAAAGGAAGAUUUGCUCCCCGAGGUUAACCGGAGUUCCGUCGCGAGCCAUUUCCGACAUAUAAACGACGGUUUGUCGGGUCUCUUCACGGCGAGUAGAGUAAGAAGCUUCGAGAGUCGGCGUAGUGAACAUCUUCAUGACGCAGAGCUUACGGAGUCUUCUCCAGUGAGUGCCGUAAGGAGACCAGAGGAUGUCUUCUCCACCGUAAGUGUUGAUUUUUCCGACUUCAGGGAGAUCGUGGUUAGCGAAAGUGAUGUCAUGCGUUUUGAGAACCUCACGAGCCAUGUCUGGAGAAG
rnacentral:lncRNA from 1 species